rnacentral:rRNA from 1 species
UACGUAGGGGGCAAGCGUUGUCCGGAUUUACUGGGCGUAAAGAGCGUGUAGGCGGCCAAACAGGUCCGUUGUGAAAACUGGAGGCUCAACCUCCAGACGUCGACGGAAACCGUAUGGCUAGAGUCCGGAAGAGGAGAGUGGAAUUCCUGGUGUAGCGGUGAAAUGCGCAGAUAUCAGGAAGAACACCUAUGGCGAAGGCAGCUCUCUGGGACGGUACUGACACUGAGGCACGAAGGCCAGGGGAGCAAACGGG